GAGGAGCAUAGCUAAGUGGGAGAGCACCUGCUCUGCAUGCAGCAGGUCCUGGGUUCAAAUCCCCAAUGUCAUCU